rnacentral:rRNA from 1 species
GUAGUCAUAUGCUUGUCUCAAAGAUUAAGCCAUGCAUGUCUAAGUAUAAGCAACUUGUACAGUGAAACUGCGAAUGGCUCAUUAAAUCAGUUAUCGUUUAUUUGAUAAUCCUUUAUUACAUGGAUACCUGUGGUAAUUCUAGAGCUAAUACAUGCUUUAAGGAGUGGCUUUUGUCACUCUGCACUUAUUAGAUAAAAACCAAUGCCCCUUUGGGGCUCCCUGGUGAUUCAUAAUAAUUUAGCGGACCGCAUUCCCUUGAGGAGGCGGUGGAUCAUUCAAAUUUCUGCCCUAUCAACUUUUGAUGGUAGGAUAGUGGCCUACCAUGGUUUCAACGGGUAACGGGGAAU